rnacentral:lncRNA from 1 species
CUCAGUCCUGAAGACAGCUGAGCAUGUGUUUUAUAUAUAGUACCUGUCCCAGUUGAGACCAUCCAGGCAAAUGAAGAGAGACACUGGUAUGAAGUGAAAACCAUCAGCAGUGAUACAUAAAGAGAAGUAAGCAAAACUCUUAAUGUGGACUCAGACUACUUGUGAUCUGAACAAGAAGAGUGGAACUGUUCAGGAAGGUUUCCUUGGAACUUAGCUCCUGUCAAAAUACACUGUUCCUCCAUCCUGAGCCCUAUACCAUGCAGGCUGGAGAAGCACCUGAUAAUGGAACUGAGAAACUCCUCCCAUAUUCUAAGCAUCUUCAUCCCCACAAGAAAGUAAAAUAACAUCAUGGUAUAUUCAAUAUAUUUCUCAGGAAUGUCUCUCUGUGCAA